AUUGAACGCUGGCGGCAUGCCUACACAUGCAAGUCGAACGGCAGCACGGACUUCGGUCUGGUGGCGAGUGGCGAACGGGUGAGUAAUGUAUCGGAACGUACCCUUCAGUGGGGGAUAACUAUCCGAAAGGAUAGCUAAUACCGCAUAUUCUCUGAGGAGGAAAGCGGGGGAUCGCAAGACCUCGCGCUGAUGGAGCGGCCGAUAUCAGAUUAGCUAGUUGGUGGGGUAAAGGCCUACCAAGGCGACGAUCUGUGGCGGGUCUGAGAGGAUGAUCCGCCACACUGGGACUGUGACACGGCCCAGACUCCUACGGGAGGCAGCAGUGGGGAAUUUUGGACAAUGGGGGCAACCCUGAUCCAGCCAUGCCGCGUGAGUGAAGAAGGCCUUCGGGUUGUAAAGCUCUUUCGGCCGGGAAGAAAUCGCGUGAGUUAAUACCUUGCGUGGAUGACGGUACCGGAAUAAGAAGCACCGGCUAACUACGUGCCAGCCGCCGCCGUAA
rnacentral:rRNA from 1 species